GUCCACGCUGUAAACGAUGAGUGCUAGACGUCACGGGUAUUGACCCCUGUGGUGUCGAAGUUAACACGUUAAGCACUCCGCCUGGGGAGUACGGUCGCAAGAUUAAAACUCAAAGGAAUUGACGGGGGCCCCGCACAAGCGGUGGAGCAUGUGGUUUAAUUCGACGCAACGCGCAGAACCUUACCUGGGUUUGAACUGCAGUGGACCGGUGCAGAGAUGUACCUUCCCUUCGGGGCUGCUGUAGAGGUGCUGCAUGGCUGUCGU
rnacentral:rRNA from 1 species